ACAAAAUCACAAGGGGGGCUAGCGGGAAGGAGAGGCAAUGCUAACAGACAAUGCAAGAUUCAAAGGGGGAGGCCCUGGGUUGGAAUCCUGGCGUUGCUUCGAAGUGUGGAGAAGUCAGAGGAUGACGUCAUCUCUUUAGGCCUCGACUAAAUGACCUCGGGGCUCAAUCUCCUCCCCAGACUCGAUGAUCCCCGGGGGCCCUUUCAGCUCUAAGGGUAGAAGACGCUAGAACUACAUGCCUGGGUCUCAGCGCGCGGCCCGGGCUUUAAGCAACAUUGCUCAGAAAUGGAGUGGGUUACCCGCUGACGGAUUCACAAAGACCAGGCCUCAGGAACUGCGACAACUUGUUUUAGGAAAAGGCUUCAGAUACGACCCCACCUCCUCACGCAGCCCGAUUCUGAUUUACGGCGCCGCAAAGCGACAGGCAUUUUGCAGCGCUUUUACGUCUCAAGGGCGGGGAGAGGAGUGGAGAUUGAAGGAGGAGAGAAGGACGCGGAUGGUUUAUAAAUUGGGACUAGACAGUAAAGGAGAGGGCCGAGGAAAAAGCGGUGUAUCCUUUCUGAGCGGCUUCCCCCUAUAUCUACCACUCCCUUCCUGCCUCCAUUAGUCCCAUUUGCUAACGGUUUAAAUAUCCCCGUCUUAGGCUUAGGAGAGCGAAGGCGCCGCCGUACCGAGCCGAGCGCGGGAGCCAUUAGCCCGGGCCACCAGUAGAGGAAGGCCGCGUAACCCUGGGGGCGGGGCUCAGAACUUCCCCAGCCUCUCUCCCACGUGGGGGUGCAGUCGCGCCUCGGUUCCAGAGGUUCCAGGCAUUCCUGGCGUACUAGGGUCUGUCCCGGGGCUACCCCUUCUCUCCGCCUUUUAGGUACCUCCUCUUUUUAGACUUCGAGGCGGUGGGGUGACUCACCUCCCCUUUCCCCUUCAGGACAUCAAUGACCUGGUUUCAUUUGCCGGGGCAGAAAAGGGAGUGCCCCGUUGCAGUCAUCCCUCAAUUUCUGGACGUCCCCAUGUGUUCCUGUUUUGGGGAAGCGACCCGUAUUUCCCCUCUACCUUCACUCACUCAGGGAUUCCCCACUUAGAUGAUGGUCUCCGAUAUCACAAAAUUUACUUUUAGCUUUAAAAAAUUCCUCGAUUCAAAUCGUCUGCAGCAGAAACUAGACUCUUGGUCAUAGGUUGUGGUGGCCAGGGAAACUGAUCCUUAAACAGCUGUUGAUGUAAGAGAAUAUAUUUUACAAAGUAGCACUGUAGAACAGAAUUAUGAAGGACAAACUUAACUGAUCACUUUUUGUGGUUUCAGCUUUUAGAGUUUUUUAGGUGUAGAAUCUCUGGCUAAGAAAAAUUUGUUUAAAAAAAAAAAAGUAAUACACAACCAGCUUUCCAGAGAAAGUACAGAAGGAAAAGUUUUUUCACUCUUUUCGAAAUGGCAACUUUCUCCCAAUGUCCUUUUUAUUUUAUUUAUUUAGAGAGAGCAAAACAUUUAUUCAAUUGUUUCAGACAUUGUGACUCCAUUUUCUUGGCAAAGAAAAGAGUGGUUUGGCAUUUCCUUCUCUAGUUCACUUUACAGAUGAGGAAACUGAGAUAAACAGAGUUAAAAGCUAUGGGUCAUUCAGAUGUUAAAUAUUGGAGAUCUCAAGAAGAUGAGGCUUCUUGACACUUUGCCACUUAUAUUCUCCUUCAUCCCUCACUGAUAUCCUUCAUUUUCUUUCAGAAGCAUUGGGGAACAGUAGAUAAGAGAAAGGUGCUUGGGAGAGCCUAUCUACUUGAUCUCCCCAAUAUUUUUUAAUAAAAUUUGACACAGAUGGGCAAAUAUUUUGUCCAGUAUUUAUUUGCAGAUUUAUUGGAUGUGGUCAUUUUUUUUUCUUAAUAAUUUAAAAGUUUUAGUUUUCCUAUCUGUAAAAUGGGGUUAUUAGACUAUUGACUUUUCAGCUCUAAAUCUUUAAUCCUAUUAUCCCAUGAUAAUUGCAUUUUGCAAUUAUGCCACAAUCCCUAACCACACACACACACACAUAUAUAUAUAUAUGAAUGAUUAAGUAAAAUAAUUGUUUCCCUUCCCUAAGGUUCUACAAGUUUUCAUUCUGGCUUGAAGGUAACUCCAUCCUGGGUUUUCUAAAAUUACACAAAUAGAUUGUAAAAGGAUGAAGUGAAAGCUACUCAUUUUAGAUUUUCUUUCUGUCUUCCUGUCAAGUAGAUGAUCAUUAGGCUGGAAAGAACAGAAUCAAUGUAGCUACUAAGGAGUUCAAUCAAGCAAUACUUACUAAGAACCUAGUGUGCUCAAUAUACAAAAAGAAGCAAAGGAUUGUCACUGAUUUCAAGAAGUUUACCAUCUAAUAAAUGAGUUGAUGAGUAAGGUGAUUAUAAGAUCCAUUCAGCAAGUAUUUAAGUGUUUACUUUGUACUAGACCCUAUAAUUAACAAGGGAUAUAAAGAGAUGCCAAAAGAACCCCUACUUUUUGGGAACAGAGGAGAACAUGUGAAUAACUAAGUAUAUGCAAGAUAUACACAAAAUAUAUGGAAGGCUAUCUCUGAGAGGAAGAAAGAAGAGGCUGCAAUAGCAGCUUCAAGGAACUUUGGAAAGGCUUCUUACAGAAGCUAGAAUUUAAACUGAAUCUUGAAGGAAACCAAGGAAACAGGCAGAGGUCUUGAAGUAAAGAUUGGGAGAGCACUUGUCAGGCGUGUUAUGGAGGAAAUUCUUUUUCAGCAACAAGUCAGAUAAGAUGACCAUUGUGAUUAAUUCCUUCCAGUUCUUGGGAUUUGGGAUAACACGUUAGACCCAUAGUAUAUAACAUAUAAUAAUAUUGCAGAGACUUGAUGUAUUGUUGGAGGUAGCAUGGUACAAUGGAAAGAACAAUGAACUUGUAGUCAUAGAACUUGAGUUCAAAUAUUGGUUCCUUUGCUGUGUGGCCUUGGGCAAUUACCAGAUUUAUUUGGGAUUUAAGGUUUGAAAAGAACUUUGCCUGGAUUCUAUAAUUUGAUUAUCUUGGUGACUUCUAGAGGUAGGUGCUAUUAUCAUCAUUGUUUUUUAUUUUAGUUUGCUGAGGCAAUAGGGGUUAAAUGAUUUGCCCAAAGUCACACAGCUAGGAAAUGUUAAGUGUCUGAGGCCAUAUUUGAACUCAGGAUGUCCUGACUUCAGGGCUGUUGCUCUAUCCACUCCCUAUUUUAUAGGUAAGAUUGAGGGAGAAUAGAUAAUUUAUCUACAGACAGAUAGCUAGUAAAUUUCUGAGGUAGGAUUUUGAGUCCAGGUCUUAAUAAUUCCAAGUCUAGUAUUUUAUCCUCUAUGCCACAUUGCCUCACUGAGCCUCAGUUUCCUAAUCUGUAAAAUGAGAUUGUACUAGAGGAACUUUAAUAUGCUUAUCUACCUCUUAGGAUAUUUUCAUCCAAUUUAGAUUGAUUUUGAGAAUUUUAUUUUCAAAUGAUUCCAAAGGGAAUUUUAAACAAAUAUAAUAAUGAUGAUCAUAUGAUUUAUUUGCCAAAAUGGUUAUAGAAAAUUAAAAUGUACAAAGCAGAUCUAUAGAAAUGGUGGCAUCAAUAAAAUACAUUACCUGGCUUAGCUAAGUUUAACAAAUAAAACCAUUAACUAAUAGAAUGACAAGGAAUGAACCUUAAACUCAUCUAUCAUACGUUUAAACUAAAUAAAGCAUUUAUUAAGCACCUAUUGUAUGUCAGACAAUGUACAUCAUGCUAGGAAAGUGUAAAGAAUAAAACAAUCUCUCCUGGCAAAGAGCUUACAUUGUAAUGGGAAGACAAUACACAGAGAUAUACAAAUCACCGUAGACUUGGAAGAAUUGAUGCUUUUUAAAAAAAAUUUUUGAAGCAAUUUUUUACUAAUUUAGCCAGUAACUCAUUUUAAAUAUUUAAUAUCUACACUAUUGAAAAUUUAUUUCUUUUAUCUGAUCAGAUCCCUUAUAAUCAUAUGUAAGGAGAUAUGCAAAUAGUUGAGAUGUUAAUGCUUAUUAAAGUGAAUUUGAUGGCUUUUCCUCCAUUUCAACCACACAAAAGUGUUAUGUUGUACUAUAAAAUGGAAUAGCACAGCAUAACAGAGCAUUGAAAUCACAUUCCAGUGAGAAAGUUGUCUUUCAAUACUUCUAUCUGAGAUUAUUAUUGGUCUAUUAAAAGGAUGUCAGUGUGUUCAUCUAAGCUUUCUAUGACCUGUGUAUGAAUAGAGAAUAUAAUUUUCUUAUGUAGCUGGCCCCUUAACCUUCAAAUUCACAGUGAGUCAUUUUUUUAGGAGAAAUAAUGAUUUAUAUUUUUAGUUCUCACAUUGAUAUUCAGUACAAUUUCAUCAAGAAGUCAUAAUUAAAGUAUGAUGUUGCUUUAACAUUCCUCAAGAAUUUAGAGAAAUGUUAAAAUUGCUAUAUCAUAUUUUCAUUAAAUAAAAGCAUAAUUUUCAUUAAAAGUUAGUGUUCUAGGGGCAGCUAGGUGGUGCAGUGGAUAGAACACAAGCCCUGAAGUCAGGAGGACCUGAGUUCAAAUAUGACCUCAGACACUUAACACUUCUUAGCUGUGUGAUCCUGGGCAAGUCACUUAAUCCCAAUUGCCUCAGGAAAAAAGAAAGAAGCUGGUGGUUUCAUCUCAUUAGCAUAUUAUAUGGAAACGUGAAAUGUAUACAGACAAAAUAAAGUAUAAUGUGAUUAUUUUCCUUCAAGAAUAAAAGAUUUGUCUACCUUAAAGUUUGAAAUGAUUAAUACAAUAAAUAUAAUCCUUACAUUAACAUUAACAUAAGCACAGAAUUAUGGAGUUAUAUGAAAUUCUAAAUGUUAUUAUUCCUUUAACUAAAUUUAGGAACAAAAGACUAUAUUUUCUAAUUCUCUUUUUUCAUUCUGUGUUAUAUAGUGUAAUAUUCUCCACAUAGUGGCCAAUAAGGAAAUGUUGACUGGUUGAUAUUAAAAUCCAAAUACAAAAAUUGGCCUAUUUCCAAAUGAGCUUUUUCCUAUCUCUUUGGCAAUCAAAGUUGACUAACUACAGAGAUAAAGUUUAUUUGGGACUUAAAUUUUUAAUGAUAAAUUCUUAGUGAACACAGGAAGAUUUAUAGUAAUGUUUGUCACUUUUUAUUCCAUUGAACAAAAUUGGAAUCAACAUCUAUGUCAUUAAUUUAAAAAAGAAAUAAAGUUCUUUCUUUCUGAAUUCAAUAAAAAUACUUUUUCAUCUGC